AUAGAAUCUGAAACAAAAAUAAUGUAUUAAUUUUAAAAGAUAAAUAAAUAUUCAAUGGUUUUCUAUAAAAAUAAUUUCAAGAGGCAUCAAUAUAUAGUGACAGUGAGUUGGUUUGUUUAGAUUGAAUUGUUAAAUAGUUUAAACUCUCAUAUCCAGGGGAUAUCCGGGCGUCACAAGGAUCAUGAACCAUGACCAGUGUAUCCGAUCAUAACACUCGGCAAUCUUUUGAUAAAGUUCUCUGACGUUACUAAAAUCUGAGAUAAAACCUGUUGGACUACCAUGUGCGAGUUGGCAUCUAAAAAUUAACACCGUGAAUGUUGUUGUUGCUGUUACUUCCACUGACAGUGUCAUGAUCUUCAUGGUAGUUAGCACCGUUACUUGACUUCUCUAAUGACGGUACCGAUGACUUUAAAGAAUUUUUUUGUUUAAAUAGAGGCAUUGUUCUGUAAACAUUCAAAUACAUUAUUUUUUGUGAUA